rnacentral:rRNA from 1 species
UCCAAUCUGCUCACUGAAUAAUUAAAGAGCCGCAGUAUCUUGACUGUGCAAAGGUAGCAUAAUCAAUAGUUUUUUAAUUGAAAACUUGUAUGAAAGAUUAGACGAGAAAUUUAUUUUCUUUAUUUUAAAAAAUUAAAUUUUAAUUUUAAGUGAAAAUGCUUAAUUAAAUAUAAAAGACGAGAAGACCCUAUAGAUUUUUAUUAUCUAAAUAAAUUUUAUAUCUUAGUUUAUUAAAAUAAUUUCAUUGGGGUGAUUUUGUAAUAUAAAAAACUUAAGUUUUUAUAACCAUAAAUAAUUGAAAUUUUUGAUCUUAAUUUUUAAAAGAAAAGAUUAAAUUACCUUAGGGAUAACAGCGUAAUUUUUCUUAAGAGUUCAUAUCUAUAGAAAAGCUUGCGACCUCGAUGUUGAAUUAAGAUAAUAUAUUGAAGUAG